GUUCCGUGCGACAGAGGUCACCCGAGGCUCGCCCACAUGUUUCGCGACCCUGAGGGCAUCAUGGUGUAGAGAUGGGGGCUUCGGUGGCGCGAGCGAUUAGGAACUUCAACCUGGAAAGCCGAGCGGAGCGAGAGAUCAGCAAGAUGAAGCCCUCCUCGGCUCCCCGGCACCCGUCCACCCGGAGCCUGCUGCGAGAGCACAUGAGCAACAAUCCGGAGAUUAAGGGAGAAAUUUCUAGAAAAGACAACAAGCUACUGUCAUUACUGAAGGAUGUGUAUGUGGAUUCCAAAGAUCCCGUAUCUUCCCUGCCGGCAAAUGAUGCUGGAUCACGACCAGAGCCCAAGGAAUACAGACUGCCAAAAGGCCCACACUUUGAUAAGAAUAUUGUACACAUUCCAAAGGGCAAGGUUUCUGUUGUGGAGGCGCUGACGCUGCUCAAUAACCACAAGCUUCAUCCAGAAACGUGGACUGCUGAGAGGAUAGCUCAAGAGUACCAGUUAGAACUACAAGAUGUGAAUUCCCUGCUCCAAUAUUUUGUAACUUUUGAAGUCAAACUCCCUGAAGACAGGAAAGCAAUACCAUCAAAAUGAAGGAACAUCAAAUUACUUUUCCAGUGUGUGCUUUUAGCAUGUGAAAUGAUAGAACUGGGAGUGAGUUUGCACUACCUGCUUUGAGAGCAUGCUGUUGCUGUUAUGGAGUGCGUUAAGUCUCCAGGAUUGCUGUGGAACGAACCUUCAUGUGCAUUCCUCUGUAUGUGCCGCCAUGGCCAAUCAGCACAUUUAGGAGUUAUUAUAAAGGAAAGAUAAUGUGCCAUUUGGUCCAUUGGCUUUGCAGGCAAACACCUUAAUCACUAAGCAUCUUUCCAGUCUCCCCCAACCCCCUUUUUUUAAAAUUUUCAAAGUAGGAUUUCAUUCUACACAGGCUGACCUGGAAUUCACUAUGUAGUCUGAGCGGCUUCAAACUCAACAGCAGUCUUUCCACCUCUGCUUCCCAAAUGCUGGUAUUAAAGACUCCUUUCACUCACCUGGAGCUCACCAAUCAAGGUUCACUAGCUGGUCAUUGAGCCCCAAGGAUCCUCUUGUUUCUGCCUACUCAGCACUGGGAUUACAG